UCAUCUUUCUAUAAGUAUCGCUUCAUAAUCUGGCAUGAUCCUGUAAUACUUUGGGGCUUAAGUAGAAUGCUUGUUUCACCCAUAGGUGCUGAAGUUCUACAGGAUUUGGUUUGAUAGAUCAAUUAACUAUCGAAUAACACGGACGUUCAAGAAUGUAAUGGAUUGAACUUUGGGAGUUAAAGUUUAAUGGCCCAGAAUGAAUAAGUGGAACAGGACAUCUAUUGAUACCGACGUGCUUAAAGAUAUUGGUCCCUUGGUGGUCUCAAGAUGCAAUUUUGAUACUUGCAGGUGGAAGCGUUUUGUUUUCUGCGAGUACCCUACAUGUAGCCCAAAGUCGUUGCAGGUGAUUCUGUAGUUACAAGAAGUAUAUUUUUCUGAUCACGAGAUUCAAACUUUGGAUCUCUAGGUAUUUUUACUCAUAGAGACCAAAUCCUUACCACUAGCCCGAACCGGUGAACUACACUUGCUUCUGGAUAGAUGUGUGGGACAGAGGGCUCGUGGACUCGUGGUACCUGCUGCCCACCCUUCUCACCAAGCUUGGAGUUUGUAGUUGAAAUUUUAGUUAAAACAAUAAAUAGAAAUAAUAUUGUUGUCCAUUCGCCAUACGUUUUGUAAUUGGAACUUUGGUUUAGACUGGUUCAUGCUAUGUUGAAUUGAUUAUAACAUGUAACCAUAUACAUAUAUUUUUCAGUUCU